GCCCGGUUAGCUUAGUCGGUAGAGCGUGAGACUGUAAGCCAAUCAGAAUAUCCGGUUUCUCUAUUUAGCCACUAACAUCAUCACCAGUUUAAUCUCAAGGUCGCGAGUUCGAGCCUCGCAUUGGGCG